rnacentral:rRNA from 1 species
UACGGGGGGGGCAAGCGUUGUUCGGAAUUACUGGGCGUAAAGGGUUCGUAGGUGGCCAACUAAGUCAGACGUGAAAUCCCUCAGCUCAACUGGGGAACUGCGUCUGAUACUGGUCGGCUUGAGUGCAGGAGAGGAACGCGGAAUUCCAGGUGUAGCGGUGAAAUGCGUAGGUAUCUGGAGGAACACCGGUGGCGAAGGCGGCGUUCUGGACUGCAACUGACACUGAGGAACGAAAGCGUGGGGAGCAAACAGG